CUCAGUAGACACCUGGCAUCAGCUCGCAUUCUAUCCAGAAAAUCCUUUCCUGACCUUGGUACUAUACAUUUGAAACUUCAAAGAAGAAAUGAAAUAUAAUUCCAUCUGAAAAUGCAAAAGCAAAUAUCAGCACAUAAUCAUUUGAAAACAAAAAAAUAUUAUAAGGAGAACCUACCAGAGUGGGAGCCUGAUGUCUAGUAAAGAAGAUCAAAAAGUUAAAAAAAAAAAAAAGGAG